rnacentral:rRNA from 1 species
UGGGGAAUUUUGGACAAUGGGCGAAAGCCUGAUCCAGCAAUGCCGCGUGUGUGAAGAAGGCCUUCGGGUUGUAAAGCACUUUUGUCCGGAAAGAAAUCCUUGGCUCUAAUACAGUCGGGGGAUGACGGUACCGGAAGAAUAAGCACCGGCUAACUACGUGCCAGCAGCCGCGGUAAUACGUAGGGUGCAAGCGUUAAUCGGAAUUACUGGGCGUAAAGCGUGCGCAGGCGGUUUGCUAAGACCGAUGUGAAAUCCCCGGGCUCAACCUGGGGACUGCAUUGGUGACUGGCAGGCUAGAGUAUGGCAGAGGGGGGUAGAAUUCCACGUNUAGCAGUGAAAUGCGUAGAGAUGUGGAGGAAUACCGAUGGCGAAGGCAGCCCCCUGGGCCAAUACUGACGCUCAUGCACGAAAGGCGUGGGGAGCAAACAGGAUUAGAUACCCUGGUAGUCCACGCCCUAAACGAUGUCAACUAGUUGUUGGGGAUUCAUUUCCUUAGUAACGUAGCUAACGCGUGAGGUUGACCGCCUGGGGAGUACGGUCGCAAGAUUAAAACUCAAAUGAAUUG